UCUAUUUUGGCAGAUAAGUGCAAUGGAUUUAGGAUCCAUUUAUGUAAAGGUAUUUUACAGAUAGAA
rnacentral:tRNA from 1 species